UCAAGUUUGACCCACAGGAGUGUGCUCUUCUGAGCUGAGAAGCUCCUUCAAUGCAGUACAGAAUUAAACAUUAAUCCAGUGUUUAUUCAGUCUGUGAAGAUCUUUCUAUAUUACACUAAGUCAAUAAAGAUUCCUGAUAAGCUACAUCUUUCAUUACAGAAAAUUUUAUUUAUGUAUGAAUAUAAGAUACAUACUGUAGACCCAACACAAAGAUAUUUGUUGUUGCCACAGGGUGGAGCUCUGAGGCCUGAUGUUAAACAGCAGCUCGAGCUAAAUGUGACUGACUCAAGGUUGAGUUUGACACUUCAAGCUUUCAGACUACUGAACAGUGACCAUGUUUACUGUUGUCUUCAUUGUAUUUUCACUGCUUAAGGAAAGUGCUGAUGCAUAUACAAUAGAAUCUCUCUUACCAGAACAGCAUGUUUCAGUUGGACAAAGUGCUGUUAUCUCUUGCAAAUACAGUGGCAUUGGGCCCAGCUUUCAGUGGUACCGCCAAUAUCCAGGAUCCAGACCUGAGUACCUUAUUUUUAAUGCAGAGACCGGCGUUUCUUCCGAACACACUUUACGUCUCAAAGCACAGGCUAAAAAAGAGAUCACAGAAGUGGAACUGGAGAUCUCCUCUACUGAAGUCAAAGACUCUGCUGUAUAUUACUGUGCCCUGAGGCCCACAGUGACAGGAAACCCACCUGCUCUGUACAAAAACUUAAUACAUUAACACAUCUUGCAUUACACAAACAUUGUGAGACACCAGCUUCCAAUCAACCAUAACAGAUCAAUGAUGCAACUGUUCUUAUUUUUCCAAAUGUAAAGAAACAAUGUUAGG